rnacentral:misc_RNA from 1 species
GAUGAAGAACGCAGCGAAAUGCGAUAAGUAAUGUAAAUUGCAGAAUUCAGUGAAUCAUCGAAUCUUUGAACGCACAUUGCGCCCGCUAGUAUUCUGGCGGGCAUGUCUGUUCGAGCGUCAUUUCAACCAUCAAGCCCUGCUUGUGUUGGGGUCCUGCGGCUGCCCGCAGGCCCUGAAAACCAGUGGCGGGCUCGCUAGUCACACCGAGCGCAGUAGCACAUCUCGCUCAGGGCGUGCGGCGGGUUCUUGCCGUAAAACACCCCCUUUUUACCAAGGUUGACCUCGGAUCAGGUAGGAAUACCCGCUGAACUUAAGCAUAUCAAUAAGCGGAGGA